GGGCACCGCGGCUUGUCCUGCUCGACGAUGGUGGCGGCGAAUGCGUGUGCUGCUCCUCAUCCUGAAACUCCAAGGAGGAGUGCCAAUACAACAUAAGCACGCCCCGCCACUGAACAAUGGCCAUGGCGCUAGGUAAGGUUGUGCUGCUAUGCCUAUAUUGCCCAGAGUAAACAUUUGAUGUGACAAAUUGCUUGUGCUGGAUAUGGUCAGUCUGUAGCUUCGUAAUCUUGUUUUUAAUUUUGGGGAAAAUUGUUGCUUGUGCUAUCAAAUAUGUACUUUAAUCUGUUAUUGGGCAUGCCAAAUAUUAUCAAGAUCAGUUUCUGUAUUUGUUUCUACACAUGGACAAAAUACUCUUUUAACAAACAGUACAAUUGAUUGCUGAUUCACUUGGAGCCACAAAUUCGUACUGCCAGCAUACUUGAUCGAGGAUGCAAUUCUUCCUUUUCAGUUUUUAAGAAGCGAACGUAAUUGCUGAUAAUUUUUGUUGCUAUGCUAGUGCACAACACCAAGAUUUUACAUUACAUUUUUAUUAUGAUACCGUUGCAAAUGAAAUGGCUCCGAUAACAGACAAGUGCUUGCUAGUUGUACUUGUACGAACAAAUGAUCUCCAGAUCCACGAGGCUGGCCAACCGAUUGGCACCAAGUUCACACCCUCAUAGUUGUACUUGUGCUACUUUUUAUUGGCCAAUGUUAGUUGCUAUGAAGUGGCUAACUGUAGCCAAUGCUGGAUGCUUAGCCUCUUGUUAUAAGGAUUACCUUCUGCUGCUUUUGCUACCUGUUAUGUUACCAAGCAUCUGGCCUCUGUUUCCCGAUUUCUUGGACAAUGUUUUUCUCUCUCUUGAGAAUCAUCGUAUUUUGGAAAGGCUGCUUGUGGUGUCAAAUACAACUAUUUAUUAGUGUCAAUUUCUGUGCUACUAAUGCCUACAGCCUUCUCCACCCAUCCAGCGGUGUACAGGACGUCCUCCUCAUCGAAGCGGCCAUCCAUGACAAGCUCUCUUUGCUGGAGGAGGUGGAACAGCAAGUCCAGCACCCGCUUGGCCCCUGUGUCCUAUUGCGCGUGGACAAGCUCACCAAUGGCUGCGUCUUCCUUCCCUCCUACAGUAGUGGCGAGCUUCUCCCCUCUCCCCACUUUCCCCCCAAAUCUGGAUGACAGUUGUAAUCUGAAUACAAAUCAUGUUUUGCUUCAGUUUAGAGGUGGAUUCACUUUCCGAGAUGAACGUGUGAGCUUGAUUAGUUGCCGAUGGUUUUGUGGGUCUGAUUCUCUUGCACUAUUACACAUAAUUUAAUUAGGGCAAGCUAAUUCUAAUCCACAUAAUAUGAUGUAGCUAUUUUUUUCUAACCACUGGUCUUCAUGUUGCGUUCGUACUCAUCUUUUGGGACUUAAUUCGGAAGUCACAGCUUGUUAGAUACAAAUUCAGCUGUGGCUUUGUAUCUUCCUAGAAUGGACUUGUUUUACAAAUGCUUAUAUGUAGUACUUGAGAGCAAACCUAAAAAUUGUACUUCUAUCAUCAGCAUCUUAGAACUGUAACUCUAUAUUUUGUUGUCUUGUUAGUAUAAAAGAAACAAGUUCCUAUUCUAAAACAUAGAGUUUAGGAUUCAGAUUGCAAUGGACAACAAUAAUUCUGUACAUGGUAACUGAAUUCCCUCCAGUUCAAUAUCCCAAUAUCCCACAGUACAUAUAUGAUACAUCAAUUAUCACUUCUUUUCAUACCAAAGGCUUGGGUAAUCCCUUUCGAUGGUUGAAAUGAAGAUUUUAAUCGUGGUAGUCUGCUUUCUCCAUCUUAGGUUCACACUGUGGAUGCAUCAUAGUAUGAUUGAUUGUUGUACGAGAAGCUAGUAUUCUUUUUUUGUUGUUGGAAGGUACUUGUGAUAUUAUUAUUCUCCUGUAGCAUAAUAACCUUAUUAAGAGAAAAAAGGUUUGUUUCCUUUCUGUUCUGAUGUUUGCCUUUGUUACCAGGAUAAAAGUAUUGCUUAUGUUAUUUAUUUCUUAUAGUAAGUACGAAAGUGCCUUCCCUUGAUUUAAUUUUUAUACUUUUUAUACUUUAUAUUUCACAACUCAUGAGAGAUCAAUAGUAGGAAUUUCAGAAUGUUUUCAUAGCAUGAUUCAAUUUUAGUGUAGUGAUAGUCUGGAACUUCAUGUCAAAUAAGCACAGUGAAGUUUACUGCCAACUCUAUUGAUCUAUGUAUGCUCAUCAUUCCGUUUUGUUGCCGUCGGUUGUUUCUUUUCACACGAUUGAUUUUGUUGCACUACUUUACAUCGCGGGAGUGAAAAAAUAUAGGACUUGAUAACAUGUACUCCCUCCCUUGCUAAAUAUAAGUCUUUUCAGGAAUUUUAAUAUGGACUACAUACGGAGCAGAAUGAGUGAAUCUACACUUUAAAAUAAGGCUAUAUUUAUUCGUAUAUAGUCCAUAUUUAAAUCUCUAAGAAAAAUUAUAUUUAGGAACGAAGGGAGUAGUAAGUUACUUCUAGUUUAACCUACUGGCUAUAAUACUAUAUAUUGUGAUAUAUUUUUUUAUCAUGUGGCAGAUAUUGGUUUAUGGGAGCAUUUUCAACAACGAAGACAUGUGUUCUCACGACUUUGUGGAGGGGUGGAUCAAACGGCUAGGAAUGUGGGACGACCCGUGAUUGAUGUUCGACGAGCGUUGGGCCUUGCUUGAUGGGGGCGGCGCUGGUUGUAGAGUAGCAUAGUGUUCUUUUUUUGGCUCUUUUUUUGCUCAUGUAUAGGUAUUUUCUAGUGUGUUUAUGUAAUCUUCUUUUUUAAUGACAUGAGCGUAUAUUUUUUUAUCAAAUUAUUAUUGGCUUAAAUUUCCAUUGACCAAGAGAAAUGAGACAUGGGCUAAUGUCCUGACUUGAAAUUAGUGGGCCGUACCAUAAUGGAUUGAAAUUCUAAUAUUUGGGUUGAUUACUAUAUGGGCCGACAAUCUUGGACUGAGCUAAAAUUUAGUGGGCCAAAUAAUUUGAUGGGCUGACUACUACAUGGGCUGCCACGUCAGAUCCAUGUCAGAUGAUGAUGUGGUAUACGCAUUAACGCCGUUAUGAGCACGUCAGUUAACUACCAUCCAUGACGGCUAGGAACCGUCAUGAUCCGUGACGGUUUUGGAUGGUCCGUCAAGGAGCGUGCAGUGGUCAAAUUAUGACGCGAUAUGCAUGACGGAUUUCAAAUCCGUCACGUAUGCCCCUGCAUGACAGUUUUGUGCAGGUCGGUAAUGGAUUGGAUCCGUCACGUAUUAACAGAUUUCUUGUAGUGGUUGAACGUGUGCUGAACACGGAGGUGCCGUACGUUCGGUACUGAGGAUCGGUCGAUCAUGAAGACGUACGACUACAUCAACCGCGUUGUUAUAACGCUUCCGCUUAACGGUCUACGAGGGUACGUGGACGGCACUCUCCCCUCUCGUUGCUAUGCAUCACCAUGAUCUUGCGUGUGCGUAGGAAUUUUUUUGAAAUUACUAUGUUCCCCAACAGUGGCAUCCGAGCCUGGUUUAUGCGUAGAUGUUAUAUGCACGACUAGAACACAAGUGAGUUGUGCGCGAUACAAGUCAUACUGCUUACCAGCAUGUCAUACUUUGGUUUGGCGGUAUUGUUGGAUGAAGCGGCCCGGACCGACAUUACGCGUACGCUUACGCGAGACUGGUUCUACCGACGUGCUUUGCACACAGGUGGCUAGCGGGUGUCAGUUUCUCCAACUUUAGUUGAACCAAGUGUGACUAAGCCCGGUCCUUGAGAAGGUUAAAACAACACUAACUUGACGAACUAUCGUUGUGGUUUUGAUGCAUAGGUAAGAACGGUUCUUG
rnacentral:lncRNA from 1 species